GAUGAACGCUGGCGGCGUGCCUAAUACAUGCAAGUCGAGCGAACAGACGAGGAGCUUGCUCCUCUGACGUUAGCGGCGGACGGGUGAGUAACACGUGGAUAACCUACCUAUAAGACUGGGAUAACUUCGGGAAACCGGAGCUAAUACCGGAUAAUAUAUUGAACCGCAUGGUUCAAUAGUGAAAGACGGUUUUGCUGUCACUUAUAGAUGGAUCCGCGCCGCAUUAGCUAGUUGGUAAGGUAACGGCUUACCAGGGCGACGGUGCGUAACCGACCCGAGAGCGGGAGCGGCCACACGGGAACUGAGACACGGUCCAGACGCCUACGGGAGGCAGCAGUAGGGAAUCUUCCGCAAUGGGCGAAAGCCUGACGGAGCAACGCCGCGUGAGUGAUGAAGGUCUUCGGAUCGUAAAACUCUGUUAUUAGGGAAGAACAAAUGUGUAAGUAACUAUGCACGUCUUGACGGUACCUAAUCAGAAAGCCACGGCUAACUACGUG
rnacentral:rRNA from 1 species